AUGCUAUGGAGAAUCUGUGGUUGAGGUAUGUUGAUAUUAGAGAUUGCUGUCUCCUUGCCAUGUUGUCAUUAAAUGAACAUACUUGCAAUUUCAAGUUACUCUAUAGAGUAAAGACUCAGUUUGAUUAUACUUGGUGGACUGAGAGUAUUGAAUUUGGAAGUGAUGAAAAGUUUUUAUGGGGCUUUAAUCAAGAUUAUAAAUUGUGGUGUUGUUUUACUUAUAUUGUAAAAGACAGUUGGGGACUUUCAAAGAAGCAGUAGACCAGUGUCAUUAAGUCCAGUUAGAGGCCUGAUCAAUGAUUCAGGAAGCAUGUUUUGCGAGAAGAAGCCUCUCUUACGCACUGAUGGUUUGCAGACUUCAAUUAAGCCAGAAAUGUGGAGAGUUUGGAGCAUGCAGAGGGCUGGAUUGUCGGAUGCCGAAUUUGAGGCUGCCGAGAUUAAUUCCAAGGAAUUGCAUGGAACUACUGAUGUAUCAGAAGGUCAAGAACUAAGAGGGAGUUCUGGGGAGUCUUUGAGCA